GGCUUGGCUGAACGGUCUGCCUCACGGUAUGUACUGUUCUGGUCGGGCCUUUCCUUCUGGCGAGCCAAGGUGCUCUUAAUUGAGUGCUUUGGGGAACCAGGACUUUUACUUUGAAAAAAUUAGAGUGUUCAAAGCAGGCUUACGUCUGAAUACAUUAGCAUGGAAUAAUAAAAUAGGACG
rnacentral:rRNA from 1 species